UACGUAGGGUCCGAGCGUUGUCCGGAAUUACUGGGCGUAAAGAGCUCGUAGGUGGUUUGUCGCGUUGUUCGUGAAAACUCACAGCUUAACUGUGGGCGUGCGGGCGAUACGGGCAGACUUGAGUACUGCAGGGGAGACUGGAAUUCCUGGUGUAGCGGUGGAAUGCGCAGAUAUCAGGAGGAACACCGGUGGCGAAGGCGGGUCUCUGGGCAUUACCUGACGCUGAGGAGCGAAAGUGUGGGGAGCGAACAGG
rnacentral:rRNA from 1 species